rnacentral:rRNA from 1 species
UACGGGGGGGGCAAGCGUUGUUCGGAAUUACUGGGCGUAAAGGGCUUGUAGGUGGCCAACUAAGUCAGACGUGAAAUCCCUCAGCUUAACUGGGGAACUGCGUCUGAUACUGGAUGGCUUGAGUUUGGGAGAGGGAUGCGGAAUUCCAGGUGUAGCGGUGAAAUGCGUAGAUAUCAGGAAGAACACCCGUGGCGAAGGCGGCUUUCUGGGACGGUACUGACGCUGAGACGCGAAAGCGUGGGGAGCGAACAGG